rnacentral:tRNA from 1 species
GCGAGGAUGGCGGAAUUGGCAGACGCGCCAGACUUAGGAUCUGGUCCUUUGGGUGUGGGUUCAAGUCCCUCUCCUCGCACCA